UGCCUUUGUGUUGCUCUUUCAUUUGUCUGUAUUGAAAGGGGUGUCAAAAAAGGCAUACAUUGACUCUUGUGGUUGACUGAGAAAUGGGUGAUCUCUAAGCCUUUCUGAAAGAUGAACUGCAAGGACAUGC
ensembl:snoRNA small nucleolar RNA SNORA13